rnacentral:lncRNA from 1 species
AGCAAAUGUAAUGUGUGGAUCGCAAUGCAUUGCAUUUAGUCGAUACUCGGCCCAUAUCAUAUACACGUAAAACAGCUAAAAAUGAUACAAAAUCAGAUUUAUUUCAUAACAUACGGCAAAGCCUAUAUACAAUAUACAACACACUAAAAAGCCAAAAGCUUCAAUUAAAUUCGGAAAGCAUCACAACCAACAAACUAAAUCAUCAAACUCAAAGAAAGAAAUUAUUAAACAUAAAUUUAACCAACAAAGUUUAUAAGAGAGAUAGUUCAAUAUUGCAAAGAUAAAGUCUUAAAUUGGAAAGAAACAAAGCAUAGACUCUUAGUCACCAUAAAUCCAUCACUUACAUACAUCCUAGCCACAUUUGGCUCGCUUUGAAUCUUCUGCCUCAACAUUAUCAGCAGUCCUUUUCACCCUCUCACCACCAGAUUCUUCAAAGCGUGUGGAAGGACCAUCCUCAGCA